rnacentral:rRNA from 1 species
AGUGGCGAACGGGUGAGGAACACGUGAGAAAUUUGCCCCGAACUUUGGGAUAACAGUUGGAAACGACUGCUAAUACUGGAUGUCGUCGUACCCUCGCAUGGGGGGAUGACGAAAGGGUUACCGGAUCGGGACGGUCUCGCGGCCUAUCAGCUAGUUGGUGAGGUAGAGGCUCACCAAGGCUACGACGGGUAACCGGCCUGAGAGGGCGAACGGUCACACUGGGACUGAGACACGGCCCAGACUCC